ensembl:misc_RNA Y_RNA Y RNA
GGCUGGUCCGAGUGCGGUGAUAUUUACAACAAAUUGAUCAGAAGUUAACAGAUUUAUUUGUUCCUCUUCCACUUCUACUGUUUCACUUGACUAGCCUUUA